rnacentral:rRNA from 1 species
GAUGAACGCUGGCGGCGUGCCCAAUACAUGCAAGUCGAGCGAACGGACGAGAAGCUUGCUUCUCUGAUGUUAGCGGCGGACGGGUGAGUAACACGUGGAUAACCUACCUAUAAGACUGGGAUAACUUCGGGAAACCGGAGCUAAUACCGGAUAAUAUUUUGAACCGCAUGGUUCAAAAGUGAAAGACGGUCUUGCUGUCACUUAUAGAUGGAUCCGCGCUGCAUUAGCUAGUUGGUAAGGUAACGGCUUACCAAGGCAACGAUGCAUAGCCGACCUGAGAGGGUGAUCGGCCACACUGGAACUGAGACACGGUCCAGACUCCUACGGGAGGCAGCAGUAGGGAAUCUUCCGCAAUGGGCGAAAGCCUGACGGAGCAACGCCGCGCGAGUGAUGAAGGUCUUCGGAUCGUANAACUCUGUUAUUAGGGAAGAACAUAUGUGUAAGUAACUGUGCACAUCUUGACGGUACCUAAUCAGAAAGCCACGGCUAACUACGUGCCAGCAGCCGCGGUAAUACGUAAGUGGCAAGCGUUAUCCGGAAUUAUUGGGCGUAAAGCGCGCGUAGCGGUUUUUUAAGUCUGAUGUGAAAGCCCACGGCUCAACCGUGGAGGGUCAUUGGAAACUGGAAAACUUGAGUGCAGAAGAGGAAAGUGGAAUUCCAUGUGUAGCGGUGAAAUGCGCAGAGAUAUGGAGGAACACCAGUGGCGAAGGCGACUUUCUGGUCUGUAACUGACGCUGAUGUGCGAAAGCGUGGGGAUCAAACAGGAUUAGAUACCCUGGUAGUCCACGCCGUAAACGAUGAGUGCUAAGUGUUAGGGGGUUUCCGCCCCUUAGUGCUGCAGCUAACGCAUUAAGCACUCCGCCUGGGGAGUACGACCGCAAGGUUGAAACUCAAAGGAAUUGACGGGGACCCGCACAAGCGGUGGAGCAUGUGGUUUAAUUCGAAGCAACGCGAAGAACCUUACCAAAUCUUGACAUCCUUUGACAACUCUAGAGAUAGAGCCUUCCCCUUCGGGGGACAAAGUGACAGGUGGUGCAUGGUUGUCGUCAGCUCGUGUCGUGAGAUGUUGGGUUAAGUCCCGCAACGAGCGCAACCCUUAAGCUUAGUUGCCAUCAUUAAGUUGGGCACUCUAAGUUGACUGCCGGUGACAAACCGGAGGAAGGUGGGGAUGACGUCAAAUCAUCAUGCCCCUUAUGAUUUGGGCUACACACGUGCUACAAUGGACAAUACAAAGGGCAGCGAAACCGCGAGGUCAAGCAAAUCCCAUAAAGUUGUUCUCAGUUCGGAUUGUAGUCUGCAACUCGACUACAUGAAGCUGGAAUCGCUAGUAAUCGUAGAUCAGCAUGCUACGGUGAAUACGUUCCCGGGUCU